rnacentral:rRNA from 1 species
CGCCUUGCCAGCCCGCUCAGAAACUUAAAGGAAUUCGAGGGGGCCCGCACAAGCGGUGGAGCAUGUGGUUUAAUUCGAUGAUACGCGAGGAACCUUACCUGGGCUCAAAUGUAUGUUGACGUAUUUCUGAAAGGGAUACUUCUUCGGACAAUAUACAAGGUGCUGCAUGGUUGUCGUCAGCUCGUGCCGUGAGGUGUCGGGUUAAGUCCCAUAACGAGCGCAACCCCUAUCAUUAGUUGCCAUCAGGUCAAGCUGGGGACUCUAAUGAAACUGCCUACGCAAGUAGUGAGGAAGGUGGGGAUGACGUCAAAUCAGCACGGCCCUUACGGCCUGGGCUACACACGUGCUACAAUGGUCGGUACAAAGGGUUGCCAAGCCGCGAGGUGGAGCUAAUCCCAUAAAACCGAUCGUAGUCCGGAUCGCAGUCUGCAACUCGACUGCGUGAAGUCGGAAUCGCUAGUAAUCGUGAAUCAGAAUGUCACGGUGAAUACGUUCCCGGGCCUU